rnacentral:rRNA from 1 species
GACGAACGCUGGCGGCGUGCUUAACACAUGCAAGUCGAACGGAAAGGCCCUGCUUUUGUGGGGUGCUCGAGUGGCGAACGGGUGAGUAACACGUGAGUAACCUGCCCUUGACUUUGGGAUAACUUCAGGAAACUGGGGCUAAUACCGGAUAGGAGCUCCUGCUGCAUGGUGGGGGUUGGAAAGUUUCGGCGGUUGGGGAUGGACUCGCGGCUUAUCAGCUUGUUGGUGGGGUAGUGGCUUACCAAGGCUUUGACGGGUAGCCGGCCUGAGAGGGUGACCGGCCACAUUGGGACUGAGAUACGGCGCAGACGCGUACGGGCGGCAGCAGUGGGGAAUAUUGCACAAUGGGCGGAAGCCAGAUGUAGCAACGCCGCGUGCGGGAUGCCGGCCUUCGGGUUGUAAACCGAUUUCGCCUGUGACGAAGCGGGAGUGACGGUAAUGGGUAAAGAAGCACCGGCUAACUACGUG